GAAAAUACCGUUUUCCGUUAAAUUCGAAUAGUGACGAGGCGUACCUUCAAAGAAUACUCGCAUGGUCCUUUCCUCUACCAAAGAGGACCAUGGAAAAUCACGCUUCGAAGCUCCAUGACAAGUUUUUAAAUAUAAUAUAUAAAUAUAUCAUCACAAACAGUCAAGUGGUUUAAUUUUUCUUUAUGUAUAUAUAUAUAUAUAACCAAUUAAUGAUAGAAAGACCUGACCUCUGAUCAACUCAACAACAUUCCCCGUCAUUGCCACCGGCUCGGUGCUUCCAAAAGAAAUAUAUAAUUUUUGAGUGCCUGUGACGAGAAAGAAAGAAAGAAAGGUUCCAUAAAGCAGAAGGUGCCAUAAAGAAAGGUGUCCUUCCUGGACUGGAAGGGUAUGGUAACCAGGACAUGCGGAGGAGAUUUCUAUUUUUCUAGAGAGAGAAAUACAAGUCUUUAUUAGUAGCAGUAUAAAUAGAAGAAGAAGAAGAAGAAG
rnacentral:misc_RNA from 1 species